AUGGUAGAAUCCAGAGAGCACUUGGAGCAGCCUGAUGGACAACCGAAGAAGCUUAUCGCUGGAGAAGCCUGGGAGAUGCGACAGGAGCUCAUCCGUCGGAGGAACCCGAUCGACACUUGUGGAAGAAGCUGUGGGAGUUUAUCUGUCGGCAGAACUCGAGAAUAUUAUGGAAGCUCAGCCGCCGAAGAGGUUCGAAAAGAUGUCGCCCA
rnacentral:lncRNA from 1 species